rnacentral:rRNA from 1 species
GUCUCAGUUCGGAUUGAAGGCUGAAAUUCGCCUUCAUGAAGCCGGAAUUGCUAGUAAUGGCAGGUCAGCAUACUGCCGUGAAUACGUUCCCGGGCCUUGUACACACCGCCCGUCACACCAUGAGAGUUGGGAAUACCCGAAGCCUGCGAGCUAACGUAAGAGGCAGCAGUCGAAGGUAGAAUCAAUGAUUGGGGUGAAGUCGUAACAAGGUACC